rnacentral:lncRNA from 1 species
GAAUGUGAGAAGCCCAAGCCAACUCCUGCUCCUUACCACUACAUAUCUCCUCCGCCACCAACUUAUGUCUAUAAAUCACCACCACCUCCACCACCAACUUACCUAUACAAGUCACCGCCACCACCAGUGAAACCUCCACCAAAGCCGUAUUAUUACGUCUCCCCACCACCACCAACUUAUGUCUAUAAAUCACCACCACCUCCACCACCAACUUACCUAUACAAGUCACCGCCACCACCGGUGAAACCUCCGCCAAAGCCGUAUCAUUACGUCUCCCCACCACCACCUACUGUAUCUCCACCGCAUUAUUACUACACAUCACCACCACCACCGGUGAAACCUCCGCCAAAGCCGUAUCAUUACAUCUCCCCACCACCACCGGAGAAAUCUCCACCACCACCCUAUCCUUACAUCUCCCCGCCACCGCCGGAGAAAUCUCCACCACCACCCUAUCCUUACAUCUCCCCACCACCGCCGGAGAAAUCUCCACCACCGCCCUAUCCUUACAUCUCCCCGCCACCGCCGGAGAAAUCUCCACCACCACCCUAUCCUUACAUCUCCCCGCCACCGCCGGAGAAAUCUCCACCACCACCCUAUCCUUACAUCUCCCCGCCACCGCCGGAGAAAUCUCCACCACCACCCUAUCCUUACAUCUCCCCACCACCGCCGGAGAAAUCUCCACCACCACCUUAUCCUUACAUCUCCCCGCCACCGCCGGAGAAAUCUCCACCACCACCCUAUCCUUACAUCUCCCCGCCACCGCCGGAGAAAUCUCCACCACCACCUUAUCCUUACAUCUCCCCACCACCGCCGGAGAAAUCUCCACCACCUCCAUACCACUACAC